AAGGAGCAGACCCACCUCUUUUGAGUUUUCUCCGCCAUGGUUCGGCCAGGGUCUCCGGCUGAAGCUGAGAUCGACACAACCGCCUGGGUGAUCACCCACGACAGGCGUUCCGUCCUCAGCGGCUGCUCCUUCCCGGCCCCUCGCCUCCCGGCUGGUGUCUCUAGUUCUGUCCUCUUCGCCGAGCUUCACACCGAUGCUCCGUUGACUGCUUGGCAGCUCCACUUCAUGUGCCCAACGUCUUGUCAAACCUAAAGCGUCCAGAACAGAGCUUUGGAUCAACCCGCACGACCUUGCCCUCCCUCCAACCCGUUGCUCCUUCGAUCGCCAUCUCAGUAAAGGAACCCACCGUUCACCCAGUUCUCAAGCCAGGCAGACCCUCGAGUCACCCUUCGCGGCCCUCACCCCUCCCUGCACGAUGCACCUGCACGUUCUGCGGCUCCGACCUCCGGGGCCCUCACUCUUCCACUCUGCACGGUUUA